rnacentral:rRNA from 1 species
UACAGAGGUCCCGAGCGUUGUUCGGAUUCAUUGGGCGUAAAGGGUGCGUAGGUGGCGCUGUAAGUGGGGUGUGAAAUCCCGGGGCUUAACUCAGGAACUGCAUUCCAUACUGCGGUGCUUGAGGACUGGAGAGGAGACUGGAAUUUACGGUGUAGCAGUGAAAUGCGUAGAGAUCGUAAGGAAGACCAGUGGCGAAGGCGGGUCUCUGGACAGUUCCUGACACUGAGGCACGAAGGCCAGGGGAGCAAACGGG